UUUGGUUAAGUAAUUCUUUCUUCUGUGUGAUAAAAUUAUUAAUUGGCACAUUUUCAGAAUUAAAUAUUAUUAAUCCAGUUCUACAAUGAUAUUCCAUCUGCAAAGUUCAUAUCAACUUUGUUUUAAUAUAUAUUAAUAUAAUAUAAAUCAAUUUUGACAAAACAAAUUUUAUCUGUAGGAAAAUUGCCUCUAAAAUAAUGCCAGGUAGCUGGAAAGAACCACAGAAGAAGACUGACAGCCUGGACUGCUCAGGUAUGCUCUCUACAUUGCCACUGGAAGAGCAUUUGAUUUCAGUCAGGUCAGUGGUUUAAGUGUAAUAUUUGUUUGAAUAUUGUGAUUUUUUUUAUUCAUAGAAUUUAUUGUAAUUUCCCGAUUUACAUUUUUUAGGAAGACAUGCCAAAAAUUAGAAGAUGGUUGUGUCAUCUCUUACUUCGCAAAGCCAGCAUUAAAGCCAAGACAUCGGUCUUCACUUUC